CGCGAUCUCUCCCUCGUCGCCAGGUGCCUCCGGCAACAAGGAUUUUGGGAGUACGCGAAAGAUUGCUCUCGGAGUUCCAGGCCUGGCAGACGAAAUACUCUUUUUGAAGAUGCCAGUUAACGGAGGCCUCAACGUAUGCGAUCGCUGACCUGAACAGCGGUUCCGGAAUAACGUGAGAAGUUUAGCACGUUACCAGAGCGGAGGUGUUGCAAGGAGAAAGCCAUGCGCCUGGCCCUCAUUCUUCUGACGCUCCUCCUAGCGACGGACGCUGUGUUGCUUCCCAUCACCAUCAAGAUUAUCGUUCCCAAAUUCAUAAAGCCCUUUCGUCUGGGAAUACCAUUAACGGCACUCUUCACCUUCAAGGCGGUCAAGUAU